rnacentral:lncRNA from 1 species
UGUUAUAAUGAUAAGAUAUUGUCUAACUAAAAUAAUAAUAAAUUUCAAAAAUUUGUGUAUGGGCAAAUCUCCAAAAUAGCACAUUUCUAAGUUUAUAUCACAAAAAUAGCAUUCAAAAAUGACCAAAAUAGGACCUUUCUAAGUUUAUCCUUUGAAAUUUUUAAUUUUUUUAUUUUUCAAAAUUUGAAAUCUUAUCCCCAAAACCUCAUUUCUCAACUUUAAACCCUAAACCCUAAACCCUAAACCCUAAACUCUAAACCUUAAACUCUAAACCCUAAACCCUAAACCCUAAACUCUAAACCCUAAACCC